rnacentral:rRNA from 1 species
UGCUUGCACCUUUCAAGUGAGUGGCGAACGGGUGAGUAACACGUGGACAACCUGCCUCAAGGCUGGGGAUAACAUUUGGAAACAGAUGCUAAUACCGAAUAAAACUUAGUGUCGCAUGACAAAAAGUUAAAAGGCGCUUCGGCGUCACCUAGAGAUGGAUCCGCGGUGCAUUAGUUAGUUGGUGGGGUAAAGGCCUACCAAGACAAUGAUGCAUAGCCGAGUUGAGAGACUGAUCGGCCACAUUGGGACUGAGACACGGCCCAAACUCCUACGGGAGGCUGCAGUAGGGAAUCUUCCACAAUGGGCGAAAGCCUGAUGGAGCAACGCCGCGUGUGUGAUGAAGGCUUUCGGGUCGUAAAGCACUGUUGUAUGGGAAGAACAGCUAGAAUAGGAAAUGAUUUUAGUUUGACGGUACCAUACCAGAAAGGGACGGCUAAAUACGUGCCAGCAGCCGCGGUAAUACGUAUGUCCCGAGCGUUAUCCGGAUUUAUUGGGCGUAAAGCGAGCGCAGACGGUUUAUUAAGUCUGAUGUGAAAGCCCGGAGCUCAACUCCGGAAUGGCAUUGGAAACUGGUUAACUUGAGUGCAGUAGAGGUAAGUGGAACUCCAUGUGUAGCGGUGGAAUGCGUAGAUAUAUGGAAGAACACCAGUGGCGAAG